UACAGAGGUCUCAAGCGUUGUUCGGAUUCAUUGGGCGUAAAGGGUGCGUAGGCGGCGCGGUAAGUCGGGGUGUGAAAUCUCGGAGCUUAACUCCGAAACUGCAUUCGAUACUGCCGUGCUUGAGUACGGAAGAGGCGAGUGGAAUUCCUGGUGUAGCGGUGAAAUGCGCAGAUAUCAGGAGGAACACCGGUGGCGAAGGCGGAUCUCUGGGCCUGUCCUGACGCUGAGGCGCGAAAGCUAGGGGGAGCGAACAGG
rnacentral:rRNA from 1 species